rnacentral:rRNA from 1 species
CCUACGGGUGGCAGCAGUGGGGGAUAUUGCACAAUGGGGGAAACCCUGAUGCAGCGACGCCGCGUGUGGGAUGACGGUCUUCUGGAUUGUAAACCACUUUCCCCAGGGACGAAAAUGACGGUACCUGGGGAGGAAGCACCGGCCAACUACGUGCCAGCAGCCGCGGUACUACGUAGGGGGCAAGCUUUUUCCGGAUUUACUGGGUGUAAAGGGAGCGUAGGCGGGGAUGCAAGUUGGGUGUAAAAACUACCGGCUCAACCGAUAGUCGCUCUCAAAACUGCAACUCUUGAGUGAAGUAGAGGCAGGCGGAAUUCCUAGUGUAGCGGUGAAAUGCGUAGAUAUUAGGAGGAACACCAGUGGCGAAGGCGGCCUGCUGGGCUUUUACUGACGCUGAGGCUCGAAAGUGUGGGGAGCAAACAGGAUUAGAUACCCCAGUAGUC